rnacentral:lncRNA from 10 species
UUUGUUACUAAUUUUAUUAAAUAUAGUCAUAUGCCUAUUUUACUACUGUAUUUCCCAGCUUACUGAAAGCUGUGUGUUUUGACUAAUGAAAUGUAAAUAGAAGAUAUUUGUAUAAUUUACAGAAAAGCUUUUUCCAAGAGUUGAGUCAGUACAUUUUGUCCUACUUUUUUAUGCUGUCUAGAACAUGGGCAUGAUUCCCUUCAUUUUAAAAAUCAUCUUGAAUCCUGAGGCACAUUUGAAAUGCAAGAUAUGUGAGGUGAAUGGCAGAAAAGAAAAAUACCAGAAGACUGAAUUUCCAAUAAAUGUAACUUCAGAAGGCCUUAUAAAGAAUGUGCAGUAGGAAGAAGAAAAUCUGGAACCCUGAGUUAGCCUGGUGGGAAAGUCAGCCUCAGCUGAAGCCUCAACAGGCAGCUUGGAUGCUUCUUGACAUCUACAUUAAGGUGAGUUCAAAGUGGGCAGCCCAUCAGUGAUUAUCUGUAAUACCUCUGGGGAGUUUCACAUUUCACUCUGUAUUCGCUUCUCGCUG